UGGACAGCCUGCAGUGAGCGCGCUGCCCCAGCCCAGCACAGGCCCCACAGCAGUUACGGAAUCAGACCACACCUGGAGCAGACUUUUCCUUGGUCCAGGUGAGAUGCACCUUCUCCGGGGCUGUCUCCGCCUCGUCACCAGGUGACUGGGGGCUGCUGGAGAAGGCCGUGGCGUUCUUAUCAUGGAUGAGCUGCACCUGCACAGAGGAAGUGGUAAAAACAAAGAAGUGUUCUUACACCUGGAAGUGCCUAUAUAAGGCUGAUGCCUCAUCUCUAUCUUGUCUUCAGUCCUGGUUUUUACCUCUGGAGGGACUUUGCUACAAACUGAAGCUCUGAACAAGGGACUGAUGACCCAUCCCAGCGGGGGAUGUUCUCCAGAGACUUGAUUUAAACCUACACUUUAUUUCAUCACUGCUACAAGGCUGAACUAAGAACUUUGCCAUUACUGUAUGGAAUUGAUUCAAUUUAACCAGUUCUAGCUCUCAUCUCUAUCUUUUUCCUUUUAUAAUAAACCUUUAGAUUUCUAAA